UGUCUUGAGGAACUUGUCUUUGGAUGAUGCUGAGCAGGUCUUUCUUUCUGGUAAAGAUUUUUACAGGAGCUGAAGUCUACAGCCAGUCUAAAUGCAGCAACUGAUUAAACAGUGGGGUCAUUUUUGUGGUUGAAUUGCAUUAAUAAAAAAAAAA
rnacentral:lncRNA from 1 species